AGAGUUUGAUCCUGGCUCAGAACGAACGCUGGCGGCAGGCCUAACACAUGCAAGUCGAGCGCCCCCGCAAGGGGGAGCGGCGGACGGGUGAGUAACGCGUGGGAAUUUUCCUCAAGGUACGGAACAACUCAGGGAAACUUGGGCUAAUACCGCGUAAUCUCGAGAGAGUAAAGCUGCCCGCGAGGGUGGCGCUAAAGGAGGGGCCUGCGUCCGAUUAGCUAGUUGGUGGGGUAAAAGCCUACCAAGGCGAUGAUCGGUAACUGGUCUGAGAGGACGACCAGUCACACUGGGACUGAGACACGGCCCAGACUCCUACGGGAGGCAGCAGUGGGGAAUAUUGGACAAUGGGGGCAACCCUGAUCCAGCGAUGCCGCGUGGGUGAAGAAGGCCUUCGGGUUGUAAAGCCCUUUAGGUUGGGAAGAAGUUGUUUAGUUAAAUAGACUAGAUGAUUGACGGUACCGACAGAAUAAGCACCGGCAAACUCUGUGCCAGCAGCCGCGGUAAUACAGAGGGUGCGAGCGUUAAACGGAGUUACUGGGCGUAAAGGGCGCGUAGGCGGUUGAGAGAGUGUGAUGUGAAAGCCCUGGGCUUAACCUAGGAAGUGCAUUGCAAACGACUCAGCUGGAGUAUAAGAGAGGGUGGUGGAAUUUCCGGUGUAGCGGUGAAAUGCGUAGAGAUCGGAAGGAACGUCAAUGGCGAAGGCAGCCACCUGGCUUAAUACUGACGCUGAAGCGCGAAAGCGUGGGGAUCGAACAGGAUUAGAUACCCUGGUAGUCC
rnacentral:rRNA from 1 species